UACAGAGGGCGCGAGCGUUGUCCGGAUUUAUUGGGCGUAAAGAGCUCGUAGGCGGUUUGUCGCGUCGUCCGUGAAAACUCACAGCUUAACUGUGAGCUUGCGGUCGAUACGGGCAGGCUAGAGUUCGGUAGGGGAGACUGGAAUUCCUGGUGUAGCGGUGAAAUGCGCAGAUAUCAGGAGGAACACCGGUGGCGAAGGCGGGUCUCUGGGCCGAUACUGACGCUGAGGAGCGAAAGCGUGGGGAGCGAACAGG
rnacentral:rRNA from 1 species